rnacentral:tRNA from 1 species
GCUGGUGUGGCUCAGUGGUAGAGCAGCGCACUCGUAAUGCGCAGGUCGUCGGUUCAAAUCCGACCACCAGCUCCA